GGGUUGUGAGGUUAAGCGACUAAGCGUACACGGUGGAUGCCCUGGCAGUCAGAGGCGAUGAAGGACGUGCUAAUCUGCGAUAAGCGUCGGUAAGGUGAUAUGAACCGUUAUAACCGGCGAUUUCCGAAUGGGGAAACCCAGUGUGAUUCGUCACACUAUCAUUAACUGAAUCCAUAGGUUAAUGAGGCGAACCGGGGGAACUGAAACAUCUAAGUACCCCGAGGAAAAGAAAUCAACCGAGAUUCCCCCAGUAGCGGCGAGCGAACGGGGAGGAGCCCAGAGCCUGAAUCAGUGUGUGUGUUAGUGGAAGCGUCUGGAAAGGCGCGCGAUACAGGGUGACAGCCCCGUACACAAAAAUGCACAUGCUGUGAGCUCGAUGAGUAGGGCGGGACACGUGGUAUCCUGUCUGAAUAUGGGGGGACCAUCCUCCAAGGCUAAAUACUCCUGACUGACCGAUAGUGAACCAGUACCGUGAGGGAAAGGCGAAAAGAACCCCGGCGAGGGGAGUGAAAAAGAACCUGAAACCGUGUACGUACAAGCAGUGGGAGCACGCUUCGGCGUGUGACUGCGUACCUUUUGUAUAAUGGGUCAGCGACUUAUAUUCUGUAGCAAGGUUAACCGAAUAGGGGAGCCGAAGGGAAACCGAGUCUUAACUGGGCGUUAAGUUGCAGGGUAUAGACCCGAAACCCGGUGAUCUAGCCAUGGGCAGGUUGAAGGUUGGGUAACACUAACUGGAGGACCGAACCGACUAAUGUUGAAAAAUUAGCGGAUGACUUGUGGCUGGGGGUGAAAGGCCAAUCAAACCGGGAGAUAGCUGGUUCUCCCCGAAAGCUAUUUAGGUAGCGCCUCGUGAAUUCAUCUCCGGGGGUAGAGCACUGUUUCGGCAAGGGGGUCAUCCCGACUUACCAACCCGAUGCAAACUGCGAAUACCGGAGAAUGUUAUCACGGGAGACACACGGCGGGUGCUAACGUCCGUCGUGAAGAGGGAAACAACCCAGACCGCCAGCUAAGGUCCCAAAGUCAUGGUUAAGUGGGAAACGAUGUGGGAAGGCCCAGACAGCCAGGAUGUUGGCUUAGAAGCAGCCAUCAUUUAAAGAAAGCGUAAUAGCUCACUGGUCGAGUCGGCCUGCGCGGAAGAUGUAACGGGGCUAAACCAUGCACCGAAGCUGCGGCAGCGACACUAUGUGUUGUUGGGUAGGGGAGCGUUCUGUAAGCCUGUGAAGGUGUGCUGUGAGGCAUGCUGGAGGUAUCAGAAGUGCGAAUGCUGACAUAAGUAACGAUAAAGCGGGUGAAAAGCCCGCUCGCCGGAAGACCAAGGGUUCCUGUCCAACGUUAAUCGGGGCAGGGUGAGUCGACCCCUAAGGCGAGGCCGAAAGGCGUAGUCGAUGGGAAACAGGUUAAUAUUCCUGUACUUGGUGUUACUGCGAAGGGGGGACGGAGAAGGCUAUGUUGGCCGGGCGACGGUUGUCCCGGUUUAAGCGUGUAGGCUGGUUUUCCAGGCAAAUCCGGAAAAUCAAGGCUGAGGCGUGAUGACGAGGCACUACGGUGCUGAAGUAACAAAUGCCCUGCUUCCAGGAAAAGCCUCUAAGCAUCAGGUAACAUCAAAUCGUACCCCAAACCGACACAGGUGGUCAGGUAGAGAAUACCAAGGCGCUUGAGAGAACUCGGGUGAAGGAACUAGGCAAAAUGGUGCCGUAACUUCGGGAGAAGGCACGCUGAUACGUAGGUGAAGUCCCUCGCGGAUGGAGCUGAAAUCAGUCGAAGAUACCAGCUGGCUGCAACUGUUUAUUAAAAACACAGCACUGUGCAAACACGAAAGUGGACGUAUACGGUGUGACGCCUGCCCGGUGCCGGAAGGUUAAUUGAUGGGGUCAGCGCAAGCGAAGCUCUUGAUCGAAGCCCCGGUAAACGGCGGCCGUAACUAUAACGGUCCUAAGGUAGCGAAAUUCCUUGUCGGGUAAGUUCCGACCUGCACGAAUGGCGUAAUGAUGGCCAGGCUGUCUCCACCCGAGACUCAGUGAAAUUGAACUCGCUGUGAAGAUGCAGUGUACCCGCGGCAAGACGGAAAGACCCCGUGAACCUUUACUAUAGCUUGACACUGAACAUUGAGCCUUGAUGUGUAGGAUAGGUGGGAGGCUUUGAAGUGUGGACGCCAGUCUGCAUGGAGCCGACCUUGAAAUACCACCCUUUAAUGUUUGAUGUUCUAACGUUGACCCGUGAUCCGGGUUGCGGACAGUGUCUGGUGGGUAGUUUGACUGGGGCGGUCUCCUCCUAAAGAGUAACGGAGGAGCACGAAGGUUGGCUAAUCCUGGUCGGACAUCAGGAGGUUAGUGCAAUGGCAUAAGCCAGCUUGACUGCGAGCGUGACGGCGCGAGCAGGUGCGAAAGCAGGUCAUAGUGAUCCGGUGGUUCUGAAUGGAAGGGCCAUCGCUCAACGGAUAAAAGGUACUCCGGGGAUAACAGGCUGAUACCGCCCAAGAGUUCAUAUCGACGGCGGUGUUUGGCACCUCGAUGUCGGCUCAUCACAUCCUGGGGCUGAAGUAGGUCCCAAGGGUAUGGCUGUUCGCCAUUUAAAGUGGUACGCGAGCUGGGUUUAGAACGUCGUGAGACAGUUCGGUCCCUAUCUGCCGUGGGCGCUGGAGAACUGAGGGGGGCUGCUCCUAGUACGAGAGGACCGGAGUGGACGCAUCACUGGUGUUCGGGUUGUCAUGCCAAUGGCACUGCCCGGUAGCUAAAUGCGGAAGAGAUAAGUGCUGAAAGCAUCUAAGCACGAAACUUGCCCCGAGAUGAGUUCUCCCUGACUCCUUGAGAGUCCUGAAGGAACGUUGAAGACGACGACGUUGAUAGGCCGGGUGUGUAAGCGCAGCGAUGCGUUGAGCUAACCGGUACUAAUGAACCGUGAGGCUUAACCUUACAACGCCGAAGCUGUU
rnacentral:rRNA from 1 species